GUGGGUGUGGCCCAGCGGUUAAGGCGCCAGGUUGUGGCCCUGGAGAUCGGGAGUUCAAAUCUCCUCACCCACCCCA
rnacentral:tRNA from 2 species